UACGUAGGGUGCAAGCGUUGUCCGGAAUUAUUGGGCGUAAAGAGCUCGUAGGCGGUUUGUUGCGUCGGCUGUGAAAUCCCGAGGCUCAACCUCGGGUCUGCAGUCGAUACGAGCAAACUAGAGUGUUGCAGGGGAGACUGGAAUUCCUGGUGUAGCGGUGAAAUGCGCAGAUAUCAGGAGGAACACCGGUGGCGAAGGCGGGUCUCUGGGCAACAACUGACGCUGGAGGAGCGAAAGCGUGGGAGCGAACAGG
rnacentral:rRNA from 1 species